rnacentral:rRNA from 1 species
CCUACGGGAGGCAGCAGUAGGGAAUCUUCCGCAAUGGACGAAAGUCUGACGGAGCAACGCCGCGUGAGCGAUGAAGGCCUUCGGGUCGUAAAGCUCUGUUGUCAGGGAAGAACAAGUAUCGGAGUAACUGCCGGUACCUUGACGGUACCUGACCAGAAAGCCACCGGCUAACUACGUGCCAGCAGCCGCGGUAAUACGUAGGUGGCAAGCGUUGUCCGGAAUUAUUGGGCGUAAAGCGCGCGCAGGCGGUUCCUUAAGUCUGAUGUGAAAGCCCCCGGCUCAACCGGGGAGGGUCAUUGGAAACUGGGGAACUUGAGUGCAGAAGAGGAGAGCGGAAUUCCACGUGUAGCGGUGAAAUGCGUAGAGAUGUGGAGGAACACCAGUGGCGAAGGCGGCUCUCUGGUCUGUAACUGACGCUGAGGCGCGAAAGCGUGGGGAGCGAACAGGAUUAGAUACCCUGGUAGUCCACGCCGUAAACGAUGAGUGCUAAGUGUUAGAGGGUUUCCGCCCUUUAGUGCUGCAGCAAACGCAUUAAGCACUCCGCCUGGGGAGUACGGCCGCAAGGCUGAAACUCAAAGGAAUUGACGGGGGCCCGCACAAGCGGUGGAGCAUGUGGUUUAAUUCGAAGCAACGCGAAGAACCUUAC